UACGGGGGGAGCAAGCGUUGUCCGGAAUUAUUGGGCGUAAAGCGCGCGCAGGUGGUUUCUUAAGUCUGAUGUGAAAGCCCACGGCUCAACCGUGGAGGGUCAUUGGAAACUGGGGAACUUGAGUGCAGAAGAGGAAAGUGGAAUUCCAAGUGUAGACGGUGAAAUGCGUAGAGAUUGGAGGAACACCAGUGGCGAAGGCGACUUUCUGGUCUGUAACUGACACUGAGGCGCGAAA
rnacentral:rRNA from 1 species